rnacentral:rRNA from 1 species
UGGGGAAUUUUACGCAAUGGGGGAAACCCUGACGUAGCGACACCGCGUGAGCGAAGAAGCCCUUUGGGGUGUAAAGCUCUGUCGGCUGGGACGAAACAAAUGACGGUACCAGCAAAGGAAGCAUCGGCUAACUACGUGCCAGCAGCCGCGGUAAGACGUAGGAUGCAAGCGUUGUCCGGAUUCAUUGGGCGUAAAGAGUUCGUAGGCGGUUUGUUAAGUCUGAUGUUAAAGAUCGGGGCUCAACCUCGGGAGUGCAUUGGAUACUGGCAGACUGGAGUGCAGUAGAGGCGAGUGGAAUUCCCAGUGUAGCGGUGAAAUGCGUAGAUAUUGGGAAGAACACCGGUGGCGCAGGCGACUCGCUGGGCUGUUACUGACGCUGAGGAACGAAAGCCAGGGGAGCAAAUGGG